rnacentral:tRNA from 1 species
GCCUGGCUGGCUCAGUCUGUAGAGCAUGUGAUUCUCGAUCUUGGGGUUGCGAGUUCAAGCCCCAUGUUGGGCA